AGCUAGUGAUGGGAGUCGUUGAAGCGGGGGCAGCACUGGCAGAAGUCCCAGCUGUGGCAGAUCCUUUACCCCUGUGCUUCAGUUUCUUUCUGUUGUUUUUCUCUGCCAUGGUGGAGACGUGGACGCGGCAACGCUGGGUUCCUGGGCAGCUGUGCGGUUUUUAUUCAAAAAUCACCAUUCCGAGGAGAGCAAUCUGAGAGAGCGAGAGAGACACAGAGAGAGAGGGAACUGAGGUGUUUUUACAGGGAGAAACGCCAUCAGCAGUGACGCCGAUUCGGAGCACAGUAAACAUCAUGAAAGUUCGGAGUUCAUUCUUCAUCAGGCCUUGUGCACCUCGGCUUGUUGCAAGGGGGCGGGCACAGCAUGGGGCGCCAGAGCUCCCCGCUUCAUCACAUUCAGUAACAGGCCAGCUGUCGCCCUCUUCAGAAGUGGUCAAUAAGCACGGACACACAGUUUGCGCCCACCAGGUAGUUUGGAUCUCCAGGGAGGGAUUUGUUCUGCCAGGUUUUAGGAUCACCUGCAAGUGACAAGAGGCAGGAUGAUGACAUCAGCCAACAGACAAACUGGAGUCCUGAAACACCAGGACAAAUACCAAGAGUCCAUUAAGAGUAACAUAUAUAGUCUGCUAAUUUUUGUUUUGUAAAAUUGGACACAAAAUAAUUCAAAAGCAACACUACUGUCUGGUCACAUUGGCAUGAAUACACAUAAUAAUGUAACAUUUGUACUGUUUUUUUCUUCUGAUGUUGGUGAAUUAACUUUUAACAGUAACUUGAUCAGGAACAAAUACACCCAAAUAGUAUGCUGCCAUGGCAGGGCUUUUUUCCUGGACUGUAUUAUAUCACAGAUAAAUACAUUGACAACAUGCUCACAAUAAAGAAGGCACACAAACAAAUGACCAUUAAAAGGAAGAUCAAAAUCAAAUGAACUAAUCUAAACCAGAAUUUUUGGACAGAGGAUGUUAUUUUACAGAUUAAGUAGCUUUGCUGACAAUUCAGAUAACUGUCACGAACUGGAGAAAUUGGUGAGAUUACAUAAUUAUAUGUGUAACCCAGGAUUAUGUUUGAAUUGACUGUUCUGGGAUUAUAAUAAAAUAAAUGAAUAAAACAU